AUGUGUAUAUAUCAGUUUUACAAACUAACUAGCUUGGUUGGCGUGAGUGCACGUGCACUCUCAUUUCUUAAGAGAGGUUAGGAGUUCAAACUCAUCUC